GUUUGAUACUGGCUCAGGACGAAACGCUGGCGGCGUGCUUCACACACGCUAGUUCGAACGAUAACGCCUACCUCGUUACGUGGAUUAGUCGGCAAUCGGGUGAGUAAUACGUGAGCGACCUACCUUUGACUCCGGCAUAAGCCUGGGAAACUGGGUACUAAUACCGGAUACUACCAAUCUCCGCAUGGGGUGUUGGUGGAAAUCGUUAUGGAGUGGUUUUACAUGGGCUCACCGCCUAUCAUCUUGUUGGUGAUGUAAUGGCUUACCAACGCAACUACCGGUCGCCGGCCUGAGAGGGUGACCGGCCACACUGGCACUGACACACCGCCCACACUCCUACGGGACGCACCAGUGGGGAAUAUUGCACAAUGGGCGCAAGCCUGAUGCAGCCACCCCGCGUGAGGGAUGACCGCCUUCGUGUUGUAAACCUCUGUUAGCAUCCAAUAAGCGAAAGUGACGGUCCGUGCACAGAAAGCGCCGGCUAACUACUUGCCACCAGCCACGGUAAUACCUACGGCGCGAGCGUUGUCCGGAAUUAUUGCGCGUAAAGAGCUUGUAGGCGGUUGGUCGCGUCUGCUCUGAAACGCUGGGGCUCAACCCUGGUUUUGCAGUGGGUACGGGCUAACUAGAGUGCAGUAGGGGAGACUGGAAUUCCUGGUGUAGCGGUGGAAUGCGCAGAUAUCAGGAGGAACACCGAUGGCUAAAGCAGGUCUCUGGGCUGUAACUGACGCUGAGAAGCGAAAGCAUGGGGAGCGAACAGGAUGAGAUACCAUGGUAGUCCAUGCCGUAAACGUUGGGCAGUAGGUGUGGGGGACAUUCCACGUUUUCCGCGCCGUAGCUAACGCAUUAAGUGCCCCGGCUGGGGAGUACGGGUGCAAGGCUAAAAAUUAAAGAAAUUGAAGGGGGACCGCACAAGCGGCGGAGCAUGGGGAUUAAUUCGAUGGAAAGAGAAGGACCUUACCAAGGCGUGACAUAUAAUGGAAUGCGUCAGAGAUGGCGUUUCCCUUCGGGGAUGGUAUACAGGUGGUGCAUGGUUGUCGUCAGGUAGUGUGGUGAGAUGUUGGGUUAAGUCGCGCAAGGAGAGCAACCCUCGUUGUAUGUUGCUAGCACGUGAUGGUGGGGAUUAAUAGGAGACUGCGGGGGUCAACUGGGAGGAAGGUGGGGAUGAGGUCAAAUCAUCAUGCCCCUUAUGUAUUGGGCUUCACGCAUGCUACAAUGGCCGGUAAAAAGGGUUGGGAUAGUGUGGGGGGGAGGUAAUCCGUAAAAGCCGGUUUAAUGUUCGGAUUGGGGUUUGCAACUGGACCCCAUGAAGUUGGAGUCGUUAGUAAUCGCAAAUGCAGGAAUGAUGCGGUGAAAUACGUUUCCCGGGCCUUGCACACACCGCCCGUCA
rnacentral:rRNA from 1 species